UCGUUUUUUUCUCUAUAAAGUCAUGUGUACUAGAUAUUCAAUUGUGCGUGUGGAAAAACGAGGGAGCAAACAUGCGAUUUCUGAUUUUUUCAGAAAACCGGCUCGGAAGCAGACGUUUCCCUAAUCGAACCGAACGCGUCUCAACGUUCGUCGUGGUUUGGAUUAUAUACGAAAAACGUAUAGUAAUCCUCAUGACUACAUUUAAUUCGUGAACUUGAGUAACUAUACUUGCUUCCUUUUAUAUACUUGCUUUCCGUCAUUUCUAUGGUUUAGGUUUUCGUUUUCAAUCUCCAAAUGUGACUCUGCCAUUUCUAGGGUUUAGGUUUUCGUUUUCCGUCUCCAAAUGUGACCCUGUGGUGCGGUGCAGGCGUGCUCCUUGUUUCAUUUUCCCCUCUCUCUCUCACAGGAGUGGUCAUAAGUUCUUGUUUCGAUCUCUCUCUCUGUUUUUUUUUAUUGUGUUCAUCACAUCAUAGAGAUGCCGUGAGGAGGAAGCAUCAGGUUCUUGAGUGUAGGGUUUCUUUCCGUUACACAAAAAGAUGAGAGAUAUUUACUUAAUGGUUCGUAUUCUCUGAGCAUCUUCUCUGAUUCUCUUAGUAAUAGAACAUAGCUUGGGGUCUGUAACGGCAUUGGAACUACUAAAGUUUUGACCCUUUUCCAGCCCCUUUCCGAUGAUUAAUCCAUACUUUGUUUUAAUUAAUGACUAAUUAGUAGUUUACUGUCUUUCUAUUUUUUGAGGGAUUCUGAUAAUUAUAACCGAUUUAUUUUAUUUGUAUAUUUAAGGUUUUGUUCCACUUGUGAAAUGACAAUUUUGUGUUAUUGUCAUCAUUGUUGAUAACUUGAUAUUUUUACAUAUUUAAGGUUUUGAUGUGUAUUAAAACAAACCAUGAGAAAUUUUAGCUCAAAUUCAUGCUCACUAGUGUAAGAUAUUGAUGUUCUUCUGCAGUGAUGAGAUGGAUAUUUGUUUCUUUUGAAUUUGAUUUAUGAAGAAUUAGUUUGUUGAAUGUUUUUUCGAUUUUAUCUCAAAACUAGAAGAUUCUACUCAUUGCUUUCUGAGAAAAUUUCUCAUGAAGGACCUAUGGAGGAAGUGACCCCGUGAUCUUUCGACAAGUUUGCCUUCAGAAAUUGAAGAAACAGAAAUGUUAUGUUCUGGGAAGUGAGAUUUCUGGCCUGGAAUUGAUUCCAGGCUGCAUGUCUCAAGGUUCUAACAAUAAACAUAAUUCAAUUCGUGUUUCCCCCGAGUUUUGUCAUCUAAUUUUAUUUUAGUUUUCUCCACAAGUGUUUGUCUGAAAAUUUAUUAAUUUUGAAGUUUCAAAAUUUGAUGGGUUUUGACGCGAAGGCCCCAGCAGAGAGGCAGACUGUUGAAUGAGUGAGGUCUCUCUAACCUCAUGACCUUCGCAUAUUGAAUUGUGAUGGGCCAUUUUCGUUAGAUGCAUGGAAACCUGUCACUGCAUCUGUAGUCAUGGCUUACACCUUAUAUAAUGGUGCCCCACCAUUCUGGUCUUCUGCAUCCUCCUUUUUUUUUUGUUUAUAUUAUCUUUUUUUUUCUUUCAGAUUUCUUGAGCUUCUUAUCGGUCUUUACAUCUUUUUUUUUCAAAUCAUUUUUGAAUCAGGUAACAUUUUUAAUAGUUUUGAAACCAUUUAUCUUUAGUACAAAGAUCUCGCCUUUCUUAGGUGUCGAAUUCGAUGGCUUUGGGUGUCUUAAAGUCCGAGAAAAUUUCUUUUAAAUUUUGAGUCUAGUUAAUGAUGCACCUACCUGAUUUAGAAUUUGACUGACAAUAGUGAUUGUGAUAUCUUUGUAUUAUAAAUAAUUUGUACUAUAAAUAAAUGGUCUUUUACUGUAAUAUAUAUCCAUGCAUUUUAUUCAAAAUUCUUUGUUUUUUUUUGAAAGAUGUAUAAUGCCUUUGACAUGCAGUCAGAUGUGCAGCUACAUCAACCUUAGAGAGUCAUGGUUGAUGGAGUGUAUAUUGUACAUUCAUAUGAAAUGGUCCUUACAAAGAUGACCCUAUUUAGGGGUUAUUUUGAUGAUCUUGCCCUACGUUUCUUUCACUUCUUUAAAAGCCUGGUUCCAUGUUAUUAUUUGUCCUAUUUAUCGUCUACCGGUAUGAUUACAAGUGAGGCGGCAGCUGGACAACUAUUUUUCCCAAAAUAUAGAAGUGAAUUUGGCCAUAAAAAUAAAAUAAAAAUAAAUAAGUGAAGAUAUUGGUCAAAUAUUAAAGUUAAGAAUGGGUGAUUUGGCCAAAUUUUAGGAAAAUUUUAAAAUAUAGAGAAAAUAGAGAACUACGGAGGAUUUUAAUGAAUGUCAAGAUUUUUGAGAUAUAACUGGGGUUUAUAUUAAGUGGGUAGAGUGAAUUGACGACAAAUCAUAAAAGAGUUUGAAAUUUUAACAAAAACUUGGUUAAGAAUUCCAGUAGAGUUGGCUAGUCGUACCAGUCCCACCGGUUUUGACCGAUUUUAUGAUAUUUUUUAUUGUUGAUUUAUGUAGACUAACUCGAAAUCCUAAUUUAUCUUUCUAGCCUCUUAAUUUAAUUUACCAAGGUCUUGGAAGGUGUUAAUUUUUUUAAAAUCACCGGCUGAUAUUGAGUUUGUCUAAUUCUAUAGGUUAUGUAUUGAUUGCCUAAUUCUAUAGGUUAUGUAUUGGCCAAUUUGUAUCUUGUGCAUUACAAAUCGGUAUUAAUCGGUUGCUAUGUAUAUUAAUUGGUGAUUUAUUAUAAAGAUUUGCAGAUUUAUGCACUAUUAUAGUGCAAGUUUUUUUUUGUAGGUCUCUACUAUUUUUUUUUUAAGCCUCUUUAUCUUUUUUUCAAUGUUUUGGAUUGUAUUAUUGAUCUGUUUUUUUUCUUCUCUACCUCUCUCUCUCUAGUUCUAUUUGGGUUGGAAACAAGGGCCCUACCUCUCCCUGUCUCUCUCUCGUUGGGGUUGCGCACCCCAACCUCCCUAUCCGUUAGGUUAGGGGCAUGCUCUAACCUGAACCUCUCUCUCUCUCAUGCGCUAAUGUCUCUCUGUCUCUCUCUCUCUCGCAUGCCCUAAUGUCUCUCUCUCUCGCUUGGGGCAAGGACCUAGUAUAAAAAAUUAAUUUCAUGUAUGUAUAUUAAUAUUGAAGAAGUGUGAUAUGAAUUUAAGUCUCCUAAAAAGAUUAUUGCUUUAAUUAUUAAGAAGUGUGAUAUGAAUUUAAGUCUCCUCAAUAAAAGCUUUAAUUAUUAGUUCAUUGAAAAAAGUAUUGAUUCAGGUGUCUAAAAUUUUUAUCUAAAACUCAAGUAUGCUUAUAAUAUCUUUUUACUUUGCUUAAUUUAUGUGACAAUAUGAAAGAAUAAUACAUGUAAAUUUUAAACCCUUUUUUUUCUUGAACUUUUUUGGGACUUCUUACCUCCAUUUCAUUUUGAACUCGACACUAAUCGGCUGAUUAAGUUGGAGUCGGUCUAACUAAUCAAGGUGGGCCAUAACCGACUAAUUGGCUGGACGUGUUUUUUUUAUAACACUGGUUUAUUUCUUAGCCCAUGUAUUGCUGUCUUUGGAGAGCACAUCAUGCAUUUACUCUUGUGGGCAUUAUUUGGGAGAUUUUUAUUUUUUUGAAAUUUCAGGAUGUCUAAAUAUAACUUGAUUAUUUUUUCAAAACCAAAAAAAAGAAAAAGAUUUUGAGUUAUUAAACAUCUAGAUCACUCCUAAGUCAAUCUUGGGAUGCUCUCAUAGAGUACAUGGAUAUUGUACUCAUUCUUUAGUAGUAAAUCUUUUUGGCAUAAUUUGUAUAGGGAAAAGUAUCUAGAUCACUCCUUCUAAGUUAAUAUUGGGAUGCCGUCAUGGAGUACAUGGAUAUUGUGCUCAUUCUUGAGUAGUAAAUCUUUUGGCAUAAUUUGUAUAUGGAAAAUCAUGGUUAUAAGAAAGUCAACGUUAUUUUCCAUUAGAUAUGCAGGCGCAUAAUUUGUAUAUGGAAAAGUAUUGGUAUAAUGUCACAAGCUUUCUUGUUCAUUAGAUGUUGAGUCGGGUUGUUGACUAAAAAUUAAAAUUUAAAAAAGUUCGGGUGUCUAUAAGAGUGUUAUUGAAUAGACUAACAGUUCUAAAAAUGUUGUUGAAGUUCAUGACAUACCUCAAGUUAUCUAAUGAAUUAUAGAAUUGUGACUUUUAUGUAAUAAAGACAUGGUUUGAAUUAUGUACUUGUGACUUUCUUGUAAUAAAGACAAAUUGUUUGAAUUAUGUAAUUGUGACUUUUUUGUAAUAAAGACGAAUAAAGAUAAAUAAUCUUAUAGUAUAUAAUUCUUUGUACAUGAUAGGAAUUUUUUAAUUUUUUUUUAGAGUUAUAGAUGUGAUUGGCGAAGGAGAGACCUAAAUUGCAUGGUUGCCUUUGCAUGUUAUAGUUGUGAAUGACCAAACGGAGCCCAAAUGUUUUUAAACUUUCAUUGUUGGAAAGAUACAUGUUUUACUCAAAUUUUUGUUUUGGAUUCACUUUAAAAUGCCUUAUGAAUUGAAAGUUAUUCUUGUGCUAAGUAGGAUAUGUCAUUGCCUCAAUUGCACAACAGAUUUCUGUUGGAAUAUUUCCAUUCUGAUGAGCUUUUGAAUGCUCAAAAGAGGUCCAAACGCUUCUCAACCACCUCCAUUUGAUAGAUAUGUGCGUCUAGUAUAAAAUUGGUUUUAGAACCGUCCCCGAAUUCCCAAUGGAUUAAAAGUGAUGACCAUGUUUAUGAUCGCACUUAGUUUAUGAUCUGACGUUACUGUUUGAAAUUGUAGGAAAUGUGAAUUGUGAUAUUGAAAUGUGGUAUUGUGAUACUGAAAAUGCGAUAUUGUGAAAUUGAUACUGUCAUACUGUGAUACUGAUAUUGUGAUAUUGCUAAUGUCUUAUUGUGAUACUGAUAUUGUCAUACUGUCAUACUGUUAUUGUCAUAUUGUGAUAUUGUUACUGUCAUAUUGUGAUAUUGUUACUGUUACUGUCAUAUUGUGAUACUGUUACUGUCAAUUGUGAUACUGCUAUUGCCAUACUGCUACUAUCAUAUUGAGAUACUGAUAUUGUCAUAAUGUGACACUGAUACUGUGAUAUUGUAAUGCUGAUAUUGUGAUACUGGAAAUGUGAUAAAGUGAUAUUGGGAUACUAAUGUGAUACUGACCACUACGCAAUGCGGCACUCCUUGGUAGUGGGUACGGUUAUACUGUUUUACACUGUUAUACUGAUAUUGUGAUAUUGGAAUUGCGAUAAUGUGAUACUGGGAUACUGAUGUGAUACUGACCACUACGCAAUGAGGCACCAAUUGGUAAUGGGUAUUGUUAUAUUGUUUUACACUAUGUUACUGAUACUGUAAGCCAUACUGAUGCUGACGACUACACAAUGGGCCACCCAUUGGUAGUGGGUACUGUGAAAUUGCUUUAUAUUGUGUUACUGUGAUACUAACCACUACGUAAUGGGACAACCAUUGGUAGUAAGUAAUGUGAUAUUCUUUAUAUUGGGAGAUGCUGUGCCUUUGACCACCAUACAAUGGGUCACAUGUUGGUGGUUGGAUACUGCUCUAUCGGCUAUUGAUUUGACUGUACCUCGACCCUAAUGAUAGGAAUGAGGUCGGGAAGUGAAACUAGAUAAUAGGGUAGGUCACUCCCUUUCCCAAUUAUUAUGGGCACUACGCAUUGGGAUACCCAAUGGUAGUGUAAUGCCUUCUCACUAGAAGGGCAUAAGGAGUAGGUCGUGUCUUGCAAGGUUACUGCUAAAGAAUACCCCAAAGCGUGUAGGGGAUGUGUGUGAGGGCAUUACGAAGUGAGACAUUCACUUGUCAUUGUCUUUCCUCUCGAAUGAGGGUAGAUGUUUCAAGCUACAAGAUUGGCUUGACCUAAUCGGUGGAACUUCUAUUUCAAGAGUAGGUUUCAUUAUCUUUUAUUAUGUAAAACUGUGAUAUGUCAGCUUUACUGUUCUGUUUAAGAUGAAAUGAUGUAUAACUUAUGCACUGUAUGUUCUUGAUAAUUGAACUGCAUUUAUUUUUAUAUUAUUAAAGUAUUGAAGGCAUAAUAGAGGAAGCUUUUUUUGAUAUCUUUGUAAAUUAGUGAGCACUGUUAUCUGCUAUCACCGGUUAUAAAGUUGGAAUGCAUUGGUGUAGAUUUGUUUACUGGGUUGUUAGCUCAUUCCAUUUCCUUCUCAUGAUUGUAGAGUGAUACCUGAAAAUCGAGCAGCUGAUCUGUGUGUUGGGCGGGUGAAGCUUGAAGUUCGGUGGAGUUGCUCUAAGAAGCUUUUCAUAAUAUGUAUUUGGUGGCUACGCCACUAUGAUGUUUCUGUAUUUUUGUGGGCUAGUAGUGCUUUGAAUCGAUUGUAAAGAAUUUUGGUGAAUGGAUGUAUAAAUGGAUAUGACUUUGUUUUGAAUUAAGAACAUUCUUGAUGAAUGGAUUUUAGUUUUAUUUUGUGGUUUGCUCUU
rnacentral:lncRNA from 1 species